GCCUCCCUCUGGCGGCGUGCCUAAUACAUGCAAGUAGAACGCACAGUUUAUACCGUAGCUUGCUACACCAUAGACUGUGAGUUGCGAACGGGUGAGUAACGCGUAGGUAACCUGCCUGGUAGCGGGGGAUAACUAUUGGAAACGAUAGCUAAUACCGCAUCAUAUUAAUUAUUGCAUGAUAAUUAAUUGAAAGGUGCAAUUGCACCACUACCAGAUGGCCCUGCGUUGUAUUAGCUAGUAGGUGAGGUAACGGCUCACCUAGGCGACGAUACAUAGCCGACCUGAGAGGGUGAUCGGCCACACUGGGACUGAGACACGGCCCAGACUCCUACGGGAGGCAGCAGUAGGGAAUCUUCGGCAAUGGACGAAAGUCUGACCGAGCAACGCCGCGUGAGUGAAGAAGGUUUUCGGAUCGUAAAGCUCUGUUGUAAGAGAAGAACGGGUGUGAGAGUGGAAAGUUCACACUGUGACGGUAUCUUACCAGAAAGGGACGGCUAACUACGUG
rnacentral:rRNA from 1 species